rnacentral:lncRNA from 1 species
AGAAAUGGGCAAAAAAGGACACUCAAGAAUAAGCAAGCUCAACAAGCACCGGUAGCAGGGGGAGCAUGGCCUUUGAUAGGCCACCUACAUCUCUUACGAGGGCCAGAGCCAGCUCACAGAGUUUUGGGCAACCUGGCUGACAAAUAUGGAACAAUAUUCACUAUGAAGUUGGGGGUGAGACAAGCUUUAGUGGUGAGCAACUGGGAAAUUGCUAAGGAGUGUUUUACCACAAAUGACAAAGCUUUUGCAAGUCGCCCCAAAAGAAUGGCCGUAGAGCUUAUGGGGUACAACUUUUCGGUCAUAGGCUUCGCGCCAUAUGGCAAGUACUGGCGUCAGUCACGUAAGAUAGUGACAAUUGAGCUUCUGUCAAAUCGUCGCCUUGAGAAGCUCAAACACGUACGUGAAUCUGAAGUGAAGGCUUCAAUCCAUAGGUUAUACAAGAAUUGCAUAAGUAGCAGCAGUUCACGUAAAGUAGUUUCCGUGGAGAUGAUCCAUUGGAUCGAGGGCACAGUACUUGACAUUCUUUUGAGAAUAAUUGCCGGAAAACGUCACACUUCACAAUCAGAAGAGGCUAAUGAUUGGCAACAGCAAAUAACAAAGAUCGCUGCCUUGUUUGGUCAGUUCGUGGUGUCCGAUGCGUUGCCCUUUCUGAGACGGUUAGAUAUCGGUGGAUAUAAGAGAUUAAUGAGCAAGACAGCUAAAUAUUUUGACAUUAUUUUGCAAGAAUGGUUGGAUGAGCACAAGAUGAAAAGAGUUUCUGGUGAAGUUAAGGGUGACGAGGAUUUCAUAUAUGUGUUGUUGUCCCUACUUGAUGAUAAUGCAGAGCAGCUUCCUGAUCGCGAUGCUGACACUGUCGUUAAAGCAAUCUGCUUGGUAUAAUAUAUCCUCAUGAAAAGCUUGUGGUGUGUUUGUGUUGUAUUGUUAUACGAAUGUCACAGAUUUCUUACUGCUUUUAAUUUGCAGAGUCUAAUCGUAGCGGGUACACAGACCACAGUAGUUACAUUGACAUGGGCUAUUGCUUUACUUCUCAACAAUCCCGAGGUUCUGAAGAAGGCACAAGAUGAAAUAGACAUUCAGGUUGGUACUGAAAGGCCAGUGAAUGAAUCAGACACGAGAAAUUUGGUUUACUUGCAGGCCAUUAUCAAGGAAACAAUGCGUUUAUACCCUGCUGGACCACUUUUACUACCUCACGAGUGUAUAGAAGCAUGCAUCGUCAAUGGUUACCACGUCCCUGCAGGCACCCAACUGUUUGUUAACGCCUGGAAGAUUCAACGCGAUCCAUGUGUUUGGGAGGAGCCAUGUCAAUUUCAGCCAGAAAGAUUUCUUACUAGGCAUAAGGAUAUUGAUGUUGGGGGACAAGAUUUUGAAUUGAUACCAUUUGGCAGCGGAAGAAGGAUGUGUCCUGCAGUGUCAUAUGGCCUUCAAGUUAUGCAACUAAUGCUUGCUUCAUUAGUGCGUGGGUUUGAUUUUACAACCCCAUCAGGUGAACCGGUUGACAUGGGAGAGGCAAUGGGCCUAUCCAUUGCUAAAGCUACUCCACUUGAAGUGCUUCUUAGUCCGCGCCUUUCUGCCUCUUCAUAUGGUUAAAUUAGCUUGUGUACUUGUUAAUAUAAAUAAAUAAGUUGUACUUUUCAACAAUUUAGUGAUAAGGUGCGUUUAUAUAAGUGGAUGUCAUCAUCGUGUGUUUAUCACAUUGUAUUAUAUUAAAUGUGAGUUUGACAUAUUAUAUUACAUUGUAUUAUUUAACGUUUGGUAAGUUGCUUUUGAUUGUAUUAUGUUAACAUUAUAUUAUAUUAAUGCUGUAUAAUAUUUGGUACUAUACUGUACUAUAUUAAUUUUUAUUUAUCUUAUGUUUGGUGUUGCAUUGCAUUGCAUUAUAUUAAUUCUUUUGUUGAAAAUUUUAAAUUACAAGUUGGGAAAAAAUAUUAAUUAGUACUUAGAAAAAUGAUAAAAUAGAUGUUGUAAAUUUUAUAAUUUUUUACAUCAAUUAUAUUUUAGUAUAAAUGUAAAAAAUAUCACAAUUCUUUUGAACAUAUGUAAAAUUAAGAAAUUCUAAAAUUUUUGGUGUGUGUAUAUAUACACAUAGGAGCAGUUCUUAAAUAUAUAUUUUAUGAAAUAAAGAUUAAAGAAAAUAAUUCAAUCAAAUAAUCUCUAAAAAUUAUCAUAACAUAAAUAAAUAGAUAAAAGCCAUCUCAUGAUAAAGAUGACAACAAAAGCAUUUACAUAUACCACAACAAACUAGAACCCUAAUCACUAAAUAAAAUGGAUUGAACAAUGCACCAAACUCAGUUCAAUUUAUAGCUGGAGGCCGUUCUAAUUCUGUUGGUUCUUCCAGGGCUCUGGCUCACUGGUGGUGCCAUAAGCCCCCAUGGACGGGCCCUCUUCAUGAUGUUACACACAUCACAGAAAUUAAAUUCAGCUGAGAAGUGGGAUGGGUUGGUAAUGGCACAUGAACUGAUCUGGGAAAAAUUUUAUCGCGGAUGACAGAUGAAAGUGACCCCAGAUUGCCAUUUGGAUACAUCAAACUGGAUGAGAUUCCAUUCUUAUGUCAUUUAUUCUGCAUUGUUGUGUUGAAAUUCCAUGUAGCUGGUGAUUUUUCUAACUUCAUUAGAUGGCAAGCCGUGCAAAGAUUAAUUCUCCUUCCCUAGAGACCAUGAUGAGCGCCAUGCAAAAGGUAUUCUUGCAGUAGACUCUUUAAAGUGUUUAUUACAUACCAAGCCUUUGUGUCAUAUGAAGGAUUGAUAUUUGAUAUCUUGGGAAAGCUGUAAAAUAAGGCAGCUAUUCUUCCCUCAACUGGGCAUAAAGAAACGAUGUCCACAGCUCCAUUCUGCAUUUCCUUGUAUGACCAUGCCUAGUGACUAUUGCAGGAGGGAUACGUAGCCAGCAGGUCACACAUUGCUUCCAAUGCAAUCAAGACAAAUUGUCCCAUGGUAGUAUGCAUCAGGAUCGCCAAGGAACUGCAGGGCUGCCAGAAAACAUAGGCUAAGUGAUGUUGGUAUGGGGCAGCAGAAGCCAUGCCUAGCUUUUCCGGAAGCAAUCAGAAUUUAGCGAUGUAACUGCGUCUCCGUGGACAGGAGUUGAUUGCCCAUAUGCACCCAAGGGAUUUUUUUUUUUUUGGCCAACUGCAAGAUUUUGAACGAACGGAACGAAGGCCGCAAUGAAUUAUGAAAAGGGUGGAUUAAAAUGAUUUUAAUUAUACUGACUUGGAAGAAACCGAUUCCUGAGUUUCAGUAAAAAAUUAUGAAUUGAUUUUAAUAUGGUUUCAUACAAGGUAUACUUUGACGCAAUUAUCACCGAUUAACUAAUAUAACAUAAUUAAAUUUAAAUUCAUUUUGUUUAAAUAAAUCAAUACACAUCAUAGCUGAAAAUAUAGACUUAGGAUUCUUUCCUAGUCUUUUUUUUUCCCCUCUCGUAGUCUCUCUCAAUAUUCCAAUUCUAGUUAAAAAAAAAAACUUAAUUGUAAACAAAGUGAAACAAGUCUGCCUAAAUUAUUAACAUUAAAAUUCAAAAAAUUCAAGAGUCAAGACUACUCAUUUUAUUAAGAGAAGCUAGUAGAGAAAAAAGAUUCGAAGAUGAUUCACUUUAAAAAAUAUAAAUGAUACAUCAUACAAGAUCCUUAAACAUUAUCUGAUAUGUCAUUACAUUUAUAAAUGACAAGUCAUUCAAUUUUCACACUGGAGUAAAGAUUAUACAAAAUGUUAUCUGCCAUAAAACUAUAAACGACAUAUACCGUAUUUGAUGAAUUUCAGACAAGUAAUUUUACUCCAACUAAGAAUCAACAACAUUUUACCUAUUUAGUAUCUUAAUUUCUUUUGAAUUCCAACUGAUGUAACAUUUAUUUAUUAAAUGGUAAAUUAAAAAUUUCAUGAGUUAUGAAGUUCAUCAUAAUGAGUCAUAUAAUAUUGAGAGUAAAGUUGAAACUCAAAUAUUAAAACUCCUAAAUUAGCUAACAUAAAAUUAAGAAACUCAUUAAAUAUAUAUAAAUGUUUAUAAUUAACUUAUGGGAAAUUAUCAUUUUACUACUAAAAUUUUAUUGACAUAUCAUGUCAAUACCAAGAUUUGCCGAAAAGUACAUUUUACUACCAAAAUUUUGUGCCGUUAUUAAUUCACCACCAUUUCGUUAAGAAAAAGUUAAUGUUUAACGAAAAUUGAGUUAAAAAUCGAUUUUACCCCUAAGAGUUUGGUAGUAAAAUAAUAAUUCCCUUAAAAAUUUGAUAGUAAAAUGAUAUUUUAUCUAUCAAAUUAACAAACAAUUUUACUCUUACAACUGGAAAUGUCUUUGAUGCCCUUAUGACAUCAGCAAACUUUUAACGUUGUUAACAGAACGGUAGUGAAUUGAUAACGGCGCAAAACUUUAGUAGUAAAAUGUACUUUUCGGCAAACCUUGGUACUGACAUGAUAUGUCAGUAAAACUUUAGUAGUAAAAUGAUAAUAUCCCUUAACUUAUUUUGCAGCUAAUUUUUCCAACUUGAAAACAUGUUAAUUCCAAAGGUCCCUUAAGAUGAAGAUUGACAGUAAGCUUGACUUGAUAACCUUAAAAGGGUAAAAAACUAGAGCCUAUCAAACUUAAUGGAACAAGUGUGAAAUACCUUCUCAAUAUACUGAAAUGAAUUCCUACCACUACAAAAUUUUAUACUUCUCAUUGAAAUUAAAAAUCCCAAAAAUUUAACAAUAAUUCUUAAGACUUUGAAAAAGAAUAUGCGGGAAACACUGAAACUUCCUACACAAAAUUCAAGUGCUUGUAGGUAUCUAAAAGCAUAAUAGCAGAUUAAGAAUGGAAUAGACUUCAUGGGCGAACUGGAACUCCGAUGGCUGGGCGUGGCGCUUGACCAGGCUGACCAGGCUUUGGCAAAUCAUCCUGAAUGAAAAGGAAAAAAAGAAAAAGAAAACAAAAUAUAAGAGCCAAUGAAGAAAAUUUUCAAGUACGCGAGCACAAACGAAGACCAUAUAAAACUGACAAGCUUAACCAUUUUUCAAAUGCUACAGAUAUCACACAGCAACUAUCCCAAGACCAAAAACAUCCUCAAUUUGGUCUUUUAGUUCCCUGUAAAACAAAGGAAAAAUCUACCACACAGAGACAUAACACUGUCUCCCUUUUUUUCCUUUUUUCCCCCCUCUUAGGCUAACCCAGAAGUAAGCUUUUUUAACAGGCUGAAUGAGGAUAUUACUACUGGCAAGUAAAUCCUUGUGAUAGAACAGACUAGGUAAGUGGUCUAUCUGCCUACAUCUAUAAACCAUAAAUCAUUCUAAAAAUCAAUAUGAACAGAGACCAUUAGCCAAAACCCUGAUUAAAAAAUCUCAAUAGAAACAUGAAAAAGAUACCCUGCGUCUCAUAAAACGCUUUGGUGGUUCACGGUUCCUGCGGUCAGUGCGUGAGCGAACCCUCACCACAUGCGAGUGAAUUGCACAGGAGACACAGUACUGCAUCUUUGCAUACAACUUAGGCAGAACAUAGUCUGCAUCAAAUUCAAAAGAUUCCCAUUAUUUCCCAUUCAAACAAUACAUAAUUAAUUACAAAAUAAGAGAAAUAAUAACAUCUGUAGUAGAUAUUUACUAUCAUAGAUGCAGGCAUCCUGCACGUCUCUGACAGCAGCUUGCUCAACAAUGUUCCUCACAAGGAACCUCUUGAUUGCCUUGUCCUUUUCAUCCAUUCACAACCCAAAAUUAAAACCAAAAAAAAAAAGUGUCAAAUUACAACAAACAAAAGGCAUAUAAAUUAAUUUUUAAAUGCAAACUUAACAUCAUUACAACAACUCUAGUCUAACUGAAUGACUUGACCAAUACAUCCGCAAAAUUUAUCAUGACACAAGUUUACAAAAAUAUGGAAGAACUGAAAAAAUGAAUCUUCUUUCCCAUAAUUCCACACAAUUGCCUCAUUUGGGAGGGCAAAAUUCUCAAUGUUCUUGAUUUUUAUCAAAAUGAACAAAACAAAACAGGGAAUCAUAUAAUACUAAUAAUAAUAAAAAAUACAAUUUUAGUUAAUUAAAGCGAUAUAAAAAUAAAAAUAAAAGUGCAUACUUUGGGGCAGCAUUUGCCGCAGUUGGAGCAGCGGAUGAAGUUGACGUGGCCACGGCCGUGCUUGUUGCGGCCGCCGUUCCGGCGCUUGAAGGUCUGUCACAGAAAAAAUUAAUAUAAUAUAUCAAAUUUAUAUUAAAUAAAAAAAAAUUCUUUUUUUUUCAAUAAUAAUAUUUUUGGAAAUCAGAAAGAUAAAAUAUUUUGGCAAACCAUUCUGUUUUUUUCAAGGGAUGAAGGCGGCGACUGGCGAGAUUUGGUUGUUUGCUCGACUCAAAGUGCGGCAGGGCUUCCAAAAGUACAAUUUACAUGGCACCUUUAUAUGGAGGAGUGACUUUCAAUAAUUCGGAAUUGAGGCCUCGUUUUUAUAAUAUUUUCACAUUGCCCCUUUUAUAUUGGAUGGUUAGGAACGGAUUAUGAUUAUAGAUAAGUAAAUUCGGACGGAUAGUUUGAGACUUAACGAGAUAAUGAUAGAUUUAAAAAAAAAAUUAAAAUUCUAUCAGAUUUUAUAUAGGUAAAUAAUUAUUUAUAUUUCUAAAAAUUUAGUGAAUAGUUAUAUUUGACCCCUUUUUAUUUUUCUCGCCAACCUCCAUUACUCAGUUAACCAUAUCAUAAAUUUUUAAAUAACUUUCUAUCUCUCAACAUAAUUCAAUACUCCUAAUAUACCAUUAGUCGAGGCCCAUUGUGAUCUUCAGAUACCAGAUGAUUUAAUACACCGAAAAAAAAUAUAUAUCAUUAUCAUAAGCUCAAUCCUUUUACACACACUCUUUCAACUUCUGCCAACUCUACAUCUCCAGCAAAAGCAGUAGUGAUGAUCUCCCCUUUGCAAUUUUUGACAACCAUGUCUAAGCCCAACCAUCAUUCCUUCUGAAGUUGAGAUUGCUGCACGAGUGAAAAAGAAUAUUGAAAUUGAAUUAUUAAUUUGGAAGAAUUUCACAACACAAUUAAACAAUAAUUGAAUAUAUUUGAGUCAUUUGACCGUAUUUUUUUUGUUAAAAAAACCCAUAUCUAGGUUCAGUUACAAAAGCCAAAUCUCUCUAAUCAUGUGUCUAGAUUCAAGGACCACAAACAAGAGAUUCCAAGAACUUGUUAACACCCUUUUAGAAAACUUGAUUUUGGAUUUUCAUGCUUGGACAAUGGCUUCUUGGAUUCCUCUCCAAUGACUCCAAUUUUGUCAUACAAUUGAUUGAAAUUGAAUGGCACAUGCUCGAUUGAUACUCUCAAGUCUUAUCGAGAUUUUGAGCCCGGCAUAGUUGAGGAGUUUUAUAAGUUUAAAAAAUGGGGUGGCUGAAAAAUAGGCUGAUGAAGAAUUUAAACAAAAAAUAAUAAUUCGAAUAUCACUCAAAUUUAAUUCUUUUUUAUUUAAAAAAACAAAAAAAAAACUGAUGAUUUUUAUUUAAAAGAAUAAUAUUUAAGUCCCUCAAGUUUUUUAUUUUUAACUAUUUGUAUCUUUUCUUUAAAAUUUAUUAUACUCAUAAGAUAUCAACAGUCAAUAUUCAAAAUAACUUUUUCUAAAUAUCAAAACAAUCAUCAUCAUCAUUAUUAUUAUUAUUUCGUGUAAUAUAGUUAUAGGGACAAAAAUCUAAGGGUGAAAUAAAAGUGGUAUUUAUAGAAUUUAUAUAAUGACAAAAGCCAAGUGGACCCAAGUGAUAAAACUGUUUAAUUGAUGGACAGAAGAUCAAUUUUCUUUUGUGUUGCCGACACCACAGUUUGGUUUACGCUUCCCGACCCAUGAUAUAGGAGAAGUCUAUGUUACAGCUUCUGUAAGUAGCAGCAGCCAAUAGGGAACUUCCACGGGUGCAAGGUGAUGGAAAUGGGAAAGUUCGAAGCUGUUACUUGCAGCUUCUGCACCUUAGCCAUGUCCUGAUAUUCAGGACCAUGCACUUUUGUCAUCCCAGACAAUUUUUCAUAAUUAAAACAAAACAAGUGCUGCGUCCUGUGGCUGAUAUUUAGAGCAAAUGAAGUUUACCAAGUCCUCCCAUGAAAAUAUCAUAUCCCACCAUUAUCUCCAACCAUUUUAAAGGUUGAAAUUACAAGAGAAGUCGUAUCGUAUCUAUGUACUAUACUACUAUGUUUGUCACAAUUGUUUGGCAACCUCCAAAUUGGCCGUAUAAAGUCAUUGAUUAAUCAGAAAAAAAUACCAUUGUCGAAAACUUCGCCAUUGUGGCCCCUGAUGUAUAAAACUGACCAUAGGAUUAGCAAAGGUUUGUCAGCUAGCGGAACCUACGUGUACGUCACGUACACUUAAAUGUUAUCUAUAUACUGUGUAGGCAUUGCUCUGAGCUAACCUCUUCAUUCAAAGUCCCCGAGUCAGCUGCAAAGGAAUGGCCAUGAAUAAUCUUUCAACAGAAUCAACUGUUGCUGCAGCAAUUUCAGCCUUAGUGAUAUUCCUCUCAAUUUUCCUAUUGAUUUCAAGAAAUGGGCAAAAAAGGACACUCAAGAAGAAGCAAGCUCAACAAGCGCCGGGAGCAGGGGGAGCAUGGCCUUUGAUAGGCCACCUAUAUCUCUUACGACGGCCAGAGCCAGCUCACAGAGUUUUGGGCAACAUGGCUGACAAAUAUGGACCGAUAUUCACUAUGAAAUUGGGAGUGAAGCAAGCUUUAGUGGUGAGCAACUGGGAAAUUGCCAAGGAGUGUUUUACCACAAACGACAAAGCUUUUGCAGGUCGCCCCAAAACAAUGGCCAUGGAGCUUUU